GCGGCCUAUCAGCUUGUUGGCGAGGUAAUGGCUCACCAAGGCGACGACGGGUAGCCGGCCCGAGAGGGCGACCGGCCACACUGGGACUGAGACACGGCCCAGACUCCUACGGGAGGCAGCAGUGGGGAAUAUUGGGUAAUGGAGGGAACUCUGACCCAGCGACGCCGCGUGCGGGAUGAAGGCCUUCGGGUUGUAAACCGCUUUCAGCAGGGAAGAAGCGAAAGUGACGGUACCUGCAGAAGAAGCACCGGCUAACUAUGUGCCGGCAGCCGCGGUAAUACAUAGGGUGCAAGCGUUGUCCGGAAUUAUUGGGCGUAAAGAGCUCGUAGGUGGUUCGUUACGUCGGAUGUGAAACUCUGGGGCUCAACCCCAGACCUGCAUUCGAUACGGGCGAACUAGAGUGUGGUAGGGGAGACUGGAAUUCCU
rnacentral:rRNA from 1 species